GAGAAAAGAAAAGAGCAGGUAAAUGCCAAUGGAUGGCUAGGAUGAUAGGGUUAAUCCUGAGCGAGUUUACCAAUGUAACUCAAAAUAUACCGUCUUUCUUAUCUCUCUCUUUCACUUGUGUAAUCCGCCGGCGAUAUAUAAGCCUAACUCUGGGAAUGGAAGAGUAAGAAGAAAGUUUAUCAAGCUAGGGUUUCGUUGUCCCCCUUUCUUCUUCCCCGAGCUCCGCCUCCAAAUCAGGGGUGACUCUAGAUCGAAUCCAUCCAUUAGCUCGGGUUCUUACGCCUUCCCAGGCCCUCGACGCCCGACGCCGUCCUCCCAGGCCCCCGACGCCGCCAUCUCAGGCUCCCGACGCCGUCCUCCCCGGCUCCCGACGCCGCCAUCUCAGGCUCCCGACGCCGUCCUCCCCGGGCCCUCGACGGCAGCUGCUGGGACGCCCGACGCCGCCCUCCCAGGAUCCCGACUCCGUCCUCGCCGGGCUCUCGGCGGCACCUGCUGGGACGCCCGACGCCGCCCUCCCAGGAUCUCGACUCCGUCCUCCCCGGGCCCUCGACGGCAGCUGCUGGGACGCCCGACGCCGCCCUCCCAGGAUCCCGACUCCGUCCUCCCCGGGCCCUCGACGGCAGCUGCUGGGACGACCUCUCCAAGCCGCCGCACGACGCUGUUCCCUGGCCUUGCCGGACGACCCCGCGGCCAAGCUGCUGGCGUUCGCUCUUCCAAAGCUCCGCCACACAAAACUCCCUCCCUCAACCUUGAGGUCCUUCCCAGCCAGGCGGCCCGCGAUAUCACCCUGAUCGAAACUCACCACCGAAUGAGUUUGCUAAUAGGUUAAAGCUAUGGGUGGCCCGUCGCUGUUCUAGAUCAAUUGUUUAUGUGGAAUUCCGACCAAUAGACCCUGAUGCAGUGUUAGAGCAGUGGAAUACUGUACACCCAAUUCCGGCAGAUCCUGAGGGGGCAGCUUCACCACAGCAGGCUGAGGGGGCAGCAUCACCACAACAGGCUGGGGGUGCUGCAGCAGAACAUGCCAGGAGGGCGGUGGAAAGUGCAAGAACCCUCUCUUGCACUGGUUCCUUUGUGCAUACAGACGGAAUUGACCCCCACCAUUAUGUAUUGACUUCUGCGCAUGCUGUUGCUCCAAUUUUCACCAGCAAUGUACCAAUGACAGCAUGGGACCUUAGUCACUUCUACGAACCACAUGUUCUUUGUUACCACCGUGAGCUGGACCACCAGAAUGGGCACGACAAUGUGAGGGUUUUCGUAAGAGGAUGGGUGGCUUUCUUGAGCUGCGAAAAUGAUCUGCUAAUGAUUCGCGUCACCCAACCCCAUAUGGAGGGGUACUGUCAGCAAGAUCAUCAGCCACUAACAUUUGCUUCUUCAUUUCCAAGACUCCUGAAUGAUGUGGUGAUGGUUUCAUGGCCAGAAGUUGGGAGAAGAUUGGCCGCUGUUUCUGGGGAGGUCUCCUACCCAAAUCGCCAUAUUGAUCUUUUAGAUGAAGUUAAUGUGUUUGGAUUUACUAUGGAACUCUCUGAGGUGAAUAUCACAUCGGAGAGUGGAAGUUUAGGGGCACCGUUACUUGACGGCGAGGGCAAUGUGGUUGGAGUACUGCAUGGUGGGAAUGGGCGGUUCUCCUUUUUCAUCUCUCUUGGUGACCUCAGGGAAGUUCUUAAUCAGUGGG
rnacentral:lncRNA from 1 species